CAGCUAAUAAUCACAUCCAUGUAUAGAAAUCCCUAGAAGGCCAGGCUGGCCCAGUAUAUAAAGCUCCCCUUUCUCUCUCCUGUGAUCACUGUUGUCCACUCUGUCACCUUAUCUGAAGGCAACAUUUGAUAGUAACUUGAAAUCAGGGACAUUUGUGACCUCUGCCUCCUGAAAUUAGAUAGUGGGUUGGAGUCAGACGGCUCAUUUAUAGGCAAGUUUANNNNNNNNNNNNNNNNNNNNNNNNNNNNNNNNNNNAUGCCAUCCCCAUCAAGCUACCAAUGACUUUCUUCACAGAAUUGGAAAAAACUACUUUAAAGUUCAUAUGGAACCAAAAAAGAGCCCACAUCGCCAAGUCAAUCCUAAGCCAAAAGAACAAAGCUGGGGCAUCAUGCUACCUGACUUCAAAGUAUACUAUCAUGAAUUAAUUUUUGUAUAAGGUGUAAGGAAGGGAUCCAGUUUCAGCUUUCUACAUAUGGCUAGCCAGUUUUCCCAGCACCACUUGUUAAAUAGGGAAUCAUUUCCCCAUUUCUUGUUUUUGUCAGGUUUGUCAAAGAUCAGAUAUAGGGGACAUAAUGCUAUUUCUGGGGGAUGCCUCAGUGCACCUUUCAGAGGUUCACACUUUUUCCAAAAGCAACUUCUCAAGUAUUGCUCAUAUGCUCCUUGUGAAUUUUGUAGACAUAUAAUUUAUAGCUGACAGAGGCCUCCAUGGUGAAUGUGGCUAAGAGUCCUGUAGCCGACUGGAUGGGAAGGAAAAAGUGAUGGAGGAUAUUAAGGAAGGUUAAACAUAGUAUGUGUUCAGAAUGUUGAGUUAUCUUGAGUUUGCAAAUGUUUUUCUCUGGUGAAUAGGGUAGCUGUGCUUGCUAAUUAGCACCCUCCAAAGUUAGGCUGCUUUCAAUUGCUGUUUUAAGAACACAUUAUAUCUCCUUUAGGGAAUAAAUUCAACACAAUGAGAAAAUUAAGUACAUUUUCACGGUUUUAGGGUUUUGAAUUCUGUGUCAUAACAUAGAUUUGCUAUCUAAUCAAAGGAAGUAAUGAUGAUAACAUUAAUAGCAGCACCACUAACAACAAUAGUACUCACAGCACCACUGGUUGCAAAGAGUUUGGGAAAAACUUACAAGCCUCUUAAAACAGAGUUAGUGGAUUUUAGCUACUCACCAGCUUUUUACUUUUCUUAUAUUCUUAUAUGGGUGCUAACUCUUAAGGACAAUACUACUUAACAACUAGUUACAAAAAGUAAUGCCCUUCUCUUAGCGAAAAGGUGAUAACAACAUUUUUUGUAAAGUAUCCUAAAUCCAAAGACUCUUUCUGUAACCUUCCUUUCCCCCUCAGUGUCUCAAUAUCAAGUUGCAAUAGAAGCUUGCUGUUAGUGGAUCUGCAGUUUAAAAUGGUACUUAAUAUGAAUACAUAAUCAGAAGCGAUUUUUUUUUACUUGUUUUGUGAAAAUGAACUGCAAGUCAACUAAGAUAUUUAAAACAAGAAAAAAGAAAGUCUUCUACAGUGCCUCCAGGGUGAGUCACGGACUUAAUCACCUGCUAUAUUUACCUCAUGAAAGAAUCAAUGCCACUGCUGCAAGUCUUUCAUGGUAAAGAUUUUGAAAGCCAAGAGCUAAAAAUCAAUCCUACUACAUAUGCAUCAUUCAUAUGUUCAAAACAGCUCUAUAAGAAAUCCUGUUGUGUAGUAAAUCCUAUUAAUUUCUCCAUGACAUUGAUACCAUAAAUUUACCUGCAACCUCAUUCUUACCUAUAUGCAUUUGUCAUUGUUAAAUGAAUACCCUUAAGAAACUUCAUAUUACCACAGAUACAAAAAGAGAGAUUUUUAAAAAAGUAUUCUGCAAUCUUAAUUCCCCAUGUUCAAAGGGCUCAACAUAAGCAAUUAUUGUGAAUCCUAAUUAAAUACUGCAAAACUCAUCCUCUUUGUCUACAUCAGUCUUCUCGUUACUAGAAGGGAAAAGAACUUGUUCUUGACUUUUCUGGCCUGUGUACUAUCACUCUUGAACAUAGGCAUGAUAUUGAAUCUUUCGGAAAGCACUGUGCUUCUAUGCAGUGAUAAGCCAUUAGGAUGUGGAGGGAAACAUUCAUUUUUCCAGAUAUUACUGCACAUUCAUGAUAGAUUUUGAAUUCCCUCAGCAGAUACAACUAUAAGCAUUAAUUUUGCUCAUGCACUAAGGGAUGACUGGGAAACACUUGAGGCCUGGGAGGCCUACUUUGAGAAUAAGCCAAGUCACCUCUGCUGCAUUCUAUUGGUUAGAGCA
rnacentral:lncRNA from 1 species